AUGCUUUGACGCUCGGGGACGGCCGGUAGCUCGGCGAUUCCUCGCUUGGCGCACCAUUGGAAACCGGCGGUCAUCUAGCAGUGUACGCUGCCAGCGUAUUUUUUAUUGCCAGAGGUAGCAAACAGCAGUGCCACGACAAACAGUGGAGUGCUGACGAUGCAGUCCAGAAGGUGGCUGAGGCAAGUAUGCUAUAGGAGGUGCUUAUUCAGGCAGAAGAAAUAAGCAUCUGUAGCCAACGUAAAGGAAGCAUCUUCAAAAACCAGUGCUACAAGGAUGUGAGCAGCAGUUUCCCUUCAACGAACGGGUCAAAUUCAUGGAAGCCACGUGCCUGCUGCUUCUGGCUUACACAAACAUGCAGCCACCAUAGUAAAGUUCUUGCAAAGACAUUCUACACGAACUUGCCCAAAGGCGGAAGGAAGGCACGCACAGAUGGACGCACGGAAAAAAUCAUGGGGCUGCCGUAGAAGAUGUGAAUGAGCAUUAACCUACGUACAGAAAGGAGCGAAGUGGAGCUGUCCAUGGGCCGUGCACACAGUUUCAUAAGCAGGCUUGCAACACUUUUGACAAAUAUGUUCCUGAAUACAUCUGCCAAAGUGGCAUUUAAAGAACCAUGUAGUAGUGUACUUC